rnacentral:rRNA from 1 species
UACGUAGGUGGCAAGCGUUAUCCGGAAUUACUGGGCGUAAAGCGCACGCAGGCGGCUCUUUAAGUUUGACGUGAAAGCUCCCGGCUUAACUGGGAGAGGUCGUUGAAGACUGGAGGGCUUGAGGCAAGGAGAGGGGUGUAGAAUUCCCGGUGUAGUGGUGGAAUGCGUAGAUAUCGGGGGGGAAUACCAGUGGCGAAAGCGGCACCCUAGCCUUAUUCUGACGCUCAUGUGCGAAAGCGUGGGGAGCGAACGGG